GACGAACGCUGGCGGCGUGCUUAACACAUGCAAGUCGAACGGUGAAGCGCCUUCCUUUUUGGUGGGUGUGGAUGAGUGGCGAACGGGUGAGUAACACGUGAGUAACCUGCCCCCUUCUUCUGGAUAACCGCAUGAAAGUGUGGCUAAUACGGGAUAUCCUGGGUCUGUCGCAUGAUGGGUCUGGGAAAGAUAUUGUUUCGGUGGGGGAUGGGCUCGCGGCCUAUCAGCUUGUUGGUGGGGUGAUGGCCUACCAAGGCGGUGACGGGUAGCCGGCCUGAGAGGGUGGACGGUCACACUGGGACUGAGACACGGCCCAGACUCCUACGGGAGGCAGCAGUGGGGAAUAUUGCACAAUGGGCGCAAGCCUGAUGCAGCGACGCCGCGUGAGGGAUGGAGGCCUUCGGGUUGUGAACCUCUUUCGCCAGUGAAGCAGGCCUGCCUCGUUUGUGGGUGGGUUGACAGUAGCUGGAUAAGAAGCGCCGGCUAACUACGUG
rnacentral:rRNA from 1 species